GCGGGCAGAUCGCCAGAGGUUGGGAGUUCGCAACCAGCCUGACCAACAUGGUGAAACCCUGUCUCUACUAAAAAUACAAAAUUAGUCAGGCAUGGUGGCGCAUACCUGUCAUCCCAGCUACUUGGGAGGCUGAAGCAGGAGAAUUGCUUGAACCCGGGAGGCAGAGGUUGCGGUGCCUGGAGAUUGCGCCAUUGCACUCCAGCCUGGGCAACAAAAGCGAAACUUAGUCUCCAAAAAAAAACCACCAAAAAACAAAAAUUAGCUGGGCAUAAGCCACCGCCCCCAGCCUGUGCAGGCCUGUUUUAUGGAAGGUGACUGGGGAAAACCCACUAAUAAAAUGUGGUGACCACAAGACUGCUCAUGGAAAGCCUCUUACUACAGGGAGUAAAAUUCAUGAAGGCACUGAAACCACCAGUCUGCCGGGCUAUGAAAUGUAUUCUCUGCGGCGGACCCAGUCUUCCAGCACUUUGGAAGACAAAGGUGGGAGAAUCACUUGAGAGUUCGAGACCAGCCUGGGCAAAUAGUGGGACCCUUUCUCUACAAAAAAAUUUAAAAAUUAGCUCGGCGUGAUGGUGUGCACCUGUGGUGCCAGCUACUUAGGAGACUGAGGCAGGUGGAUGGCUUAAGCCCAGGAGUUCGAGGCUGCAGUGAGCCAUGAUUGCACCACUGCACUCCAGCCAGGACAGCAGAGUGAGACCCUGUCUCUGAAAAAAAAAAAAUUAAAUUAAAUGUAAAUAUAAAAGUAAAAAUAAAUGUGUCUAUGGACCCGCCUGGUAGUAAGUUCCCUGCCACCCAAGGACACAUUUGGGAUAGAUAAACUUAGCCAUUCACAUCGGUCCCCUUACCCUGUCUCGACCCAGCCAGUAUUCAAUCAGAACACACACUGUUUGCCACAUGGAAUUGUAGAUGCUAGUGCCACCUUCAAAGAUGUAAAAGAUUCAGAGGGGUGGUGAUUCCUAUCCAAUGGGUAGCUCCCCAUUGAGUUCACCUGUUUGGCUCCUAAAAAAACUGAUGGAUUGGCCAGGCAUAGUGGCUCACACCUGUAAUCCCAGCAUUUUGGGAGGGCAAGGCAGGCACAUCACGAGGUCAAGAGAUGGAGACCAUCCUGGCCAACAUAGUAAAACCCCA
rnacentral:lncRNA from 10 species